UGGAGAUGACAGUCUGGCCUGAAGUAGAAGGCAGAGAAUGUUCCAGGGCCCUUCUGUCUUAUUGAACCAGCUGGGUAUGGCUCAGGAGGCCUUUUAUUGUGACAGUCCCUCUUAAGGUGGCGUGGCUUUCUGCAGCAGCAGCAGAUGAGUUUAUUCAUCAAGCCCUUUUUGGAGCCCCGAGAAUCAGACUUAAGACUGCAACCACAGCAGCAAUGACCUAAAUAAGAUCACAUUCUGAGGAGCUCGGGACCUCGUUGACACUGAGAAUGGCUUUGGUUAACUUUGGGGGAGCUCUGGUCCUCACUUUGAGCAACACUUCCAUGCUCCAGAGCAGAAGAUGGUGUAUUGCCAUUCUCCUGGAGAAGCUUGCUAUGUUGGCUUCCCUGAUGGGAACUUGGCCGUCUUGAUCAUCAGAGGA